AUAACAGCUGGAAACGGCUGCCAAUACCGCAUAAGCGCACGAGGAGACAUCUCCUAGUGUGAAAAACUCCGGUGGUACAGGAUGGGCCCGCGUCUGAUUAGCUGGUUGGCAGGGUAACGGCCUACCAAGGCAACGAUCAGUAGCCGGUCUGAGAGGAUGAACGGCCACAUUGGAACUGAGACACGGUCCAAACUCCUACGGGAGGCAGCAGUGGGGAAUAUUGCACAAUGGGGGAAACCCUGAUGCAGCAACGCCGCGUGAGUGAAGAAGUAUUUCGGUAUGUAAAGCUCUAUCAGCAGGGAAGAUAAUGACGGUACCUGACUAAGAAGCUCCGGCUAAAUACGUGCCAGCAGCCGCGGUAAUACGUAUGGAGCAAGCGUUAUCCGGAUUUACUGGGUGUAAAGGGUGCGUAGGUGGCAGUGCAAGUCAGAUGUGAAAGGCCGGGGCUCAACCCCGGAGCUGCAUUUGAAACUGCAUAGCUGGAGUACAGGAGAGGCAGGCGGAAUUCCUAGUGUAGCGGUGAAAUGCGUAGAUAUUAGGAGGAACACCAGUGGCGAAGGCGGCCUGCUGGACUGUUACUGACACUGAGGCACGAAAGCGUGGGGAGCAAACAGGAUUAGAUACCCUGGUAGUCCACGCCGUAAAC
rnacentral:rRNA from 1 species